rnacentral:rRNA from 1 species
AUUGCCCCAGUAACGGCGAGUGAAGCGGCAACAGCUCAAAUUUGAAAUCUGGCCCUAGGCCCGAGUUGUAAUUUGCAGAGGAUGCUUUGGGCGCGGUGCCUUCCGAGUUCCCUGGAACGGGACGCCAUAGAGGGUGAGAGCCCCGUCUGGUCGGACACCAAGCCUAUGUAAAGCUCCUUCGACGAGUCGAGUAGUUUGGGAAUGCUGCUCAAAAUGGGAGGUAUAUGUCUUCUAAAGCUAAAUACCGGCCAGAGACCGAUAGCGCACAAGUAGAGUGAUCGAAAGAUGAAAAGCACUUUGAAAAGAGAGUUAAAUAGCACGUGAAAUUGUUGAAAGGGAAGCGUUUAUGACCAGACUUGGCCCGGUUGAUCAUCCAGCGUUCUCGCUGGUGCACUCUGCCGGUCCAGGCCAGCAUCAGUUCGUCGCGGGGGAUAAAGGUUUCGGGAAUGUGGCUCCUCGGAGUGUUAUAGCCCGUUGCGUAAUACCCUGCGGUGGACUGAGGUCCGCGCUUCUGCAAGGAUGCUGGCGUAAUGGUCAUCAACGACCCGUCUUGAAACACGGACCAAGGAGUCGUCUUCGUAUGCGAGUGUUCGGGUGUAAAACCCCUACGCGUAAUGAAAGUGAACGGAGGUGGGAGCUUCGGCGCACCAUCGACCGAUCCUGAUGUUCUCGGAUGGAUUUGAGUAAGAGCAUACGGGGCCGGACCCGAAAGAAGGUGAACUAUGCCUGUAUAGGGUGAAGCCAGAGGAAACUCUGGUGGAGGCUCGCAGCGGUUCUGACGUGCAAAUCGAUCGUCAAAUAUGGGCAUGGGGGCGAAAGACUAAU